UACGAAGGGGGCUAGCGUUGCUCGGAAUCACUGGGCGUAAAGCGCACGUAGGCGGCUUCUUAAGUCAGGGGUGAAAUCCUGGAGCUCAACUCCAGAACUGCCUUUGAUACUGAGGAGCUUGAGUCCGGGAGAGGUGAGUGGAACUGCGAGUGUAGAGGUGGAAUUCGUAGAUAUUAGGAAGAACACCAGUGGCGAAGGCGGCUCACUGGUCCGGUACUGACGCUGAGGUGCGAAAGCGUGGGGAGCAAACAGG
rnacentral:rRNA from 1 species